rnacentral:rRNA from 1 species
GUCUGGGAAACUGCCUGAUGGAGGGGGAUAACUACUGGAAACGGUAGCUAAUACCGCAUAACGUCGCAAGACCAAAGAGGGGGACCUUCGGGCCUCUUGCCAUCGGAUGUGCCCAGAUGGGAUUAGCUAGUAGGUGGGGUAACGGCUCACCUAGGCGACGAUCCCUAGCUGGUCUGAGAGGAUGACCAGCCACACUGGAACUGAGACACGGUCCAGACUCCUACGGGAGGCAGCAGUGGGGAAUAUUGCACAAUGGGCGCAAGCCUGAUGCAGCCAUGCCGCGUGUAUGAAGAAGGCCUUCGGGUUGUAAAGUACUUUCAGCGGGGAGGAAGGGAGUAAAGUUAAUACCUUUGCUCAUUGACGUUACCCGCAGAAGAAGCACCGGCUAACUCCGUGCCAGCAGCCGCGGUAAUACGGAGGGUGCAAGCGUUAAUCGGAAUUACUGGGCGUAAAGCGCACGCAGGCGGUUUGUUAAGUCAGAUGUGAAAUCCCCGGGCUCAACCUGGGAACUGCAUCUGAUACUGGCAAGCUUGAGUCUCGUAGAGGGGGGUAGAAUUCCAGGUGUAGCGGUGAAAUGCGUAGAGAUCUGGAGGAAUACCGGUGG